UACGAAGGGGGCUAGCGUUGCUCGGAAUUACUGGGCGUAAAGCGCACGUAGGCGGCUCUUUAAGUCGGGGGUGAAAUCCUGGAGCUCAACUCCAGAACUGCCUUCGAUACUGUAGAGCUCGAGUCCGGGAGAGGUGAGUGGAACUGCGAGUGUAGAGGUGAAAUUCGUAGAUAUUCGCAAGAACACCAGUGGCGAAGGCGGCUCACUGGCCCGGUACUGACGCUGAGGUGCGAAAGCGUGGGGAGCAAACAGG
rnacentral:rRNA from 1 species